rnacentral:rRNA from 1 species
AUUGAGCGCUGGCGGCAGGCCUAACACAUGCAAGUCGAGCGAACCUAGCUUGCUAGGUGAGCGGCGAACGGGUGAGUAACACGUAGGAAUCUGCCCGAUAGUGGGGGACAACGUCUCGAAAGGGACGCUAAUACCGCAUACGCCCUACGGGGGAAAGCAGGGGAUCUUCGGACCUUGCGCUAUCGGAUGAGCCUGCGUCGGAUUAGCUAGUUGGUGGGGUAAAGGCCUACCAAGGCGACGAUCCGUAGCUGGUCUGAGAGGAUGACCAGCCACACCGGAACUGAGACACGGUCCGGACUCCUACGGGAGGCAGCAGUGGGGAAUAUUGGACAAUGGGGGCAACCCUAAUCCAGCCAUGCCGCGUGUGUGAAGAAGGCCUUCGGGUUGUAAAGCACUUUAAGCUGGGAGGAAGGUUCGCUGGCUAAUAUCCGGCGGAAUUGACGUUACCAGCAGAAUAAGCACCGGCUAACUCCGUGCCAGCCGCCGCUGUAA